UGAUUAUGGCUCAGAAUCAACGCUGGCGGCGUGCCUCAGACAUGCAAGUCGAACGAUUAAAGCUCUCUUCGGAGAGUGCAUAGAGUGGCGCACGGGUGAGUAACACGUAAGUAAUCUACCUUCGAGUGGGGAAUAACGUCCGGAAACGGGCGCUAAUACCGCAUAAUGCAGCGGCAUCGCAAGAUGACAGUUGUUAAAGGAGCAAUCCGCUUGAAGAGGAGCUUGCGGCAGAUUAGCUAGUUGGUAGGGUAAUGGCCUACCAAGGCUACGAUCUGUAACCGGUCUUAGAGGACGGUCGGUCACACUGACACUGAAUAACGGGUCAGACUCCUACGGGAGGCAGCAGUCGGGAAUUUUGGGCAAUGGGGGAAACCCUGACCCAGCAACGCCGCGUGAAGGAUGAAGUAUUUCGGUAUGUAAACUUCGAAAGAAUAGGAAGAAUUAAUGACGGUACUAUUUAUAAGGUCCGGCUAACUACGUGCCAGCAGCCGCGGUAAUACGUAGGGACCAAGCGUUGUUCGGAUUUACUGGGCGUAAAGGGCGCGUAGGCGGCAUGGCAAGUCACUUGUGAAAUCUCCGGGCUUAACUCGGAACGGCCAAGUGAUACUGCUGAGCUAGAGUGCAGAAGGGGCAAUCGGAAUUCUUGGUGUAGCGGUGAAAUGCGUAGAUAUCAAGAGGAACACCUGAGGUGAAGACGGGUUGCUGGGCUGACACUGACGCUGAGGCGCGAAAGCUAGGGGAGCAAACGGGAUUAGAUACCCCGGUAGUCCUAGCCCUAAACGAUGAAUACUUGGUGUCUGGAGGUUUAAUACUCCGGGUGCCGUCGCUAACGUUUUUAGUAUUCCGCCUGGGGAGUACGUACGCAAGUAUGAAACUCAAAUGAAUUGACGG
rnacentral:rRNA from 1 species